UACGUAGGCAGCGAGCGUUGUUCGGAGUUACUGGGCGUAAAGGGUGUGUAGGCGGUUGCUUAAGUUUGGUGUGAAAUCUCCCGGCUCAACUGGGAGGGUGCGCCGAAUACUGAGUGACUCGAGUGCGGGAGAGGAGAGUGGAAUUCCCGGUGUAGCGGUGAAAUGUGUAGAGAUCGGGAGGAACACCGGUGGCGAAGGCGGGUCUCUGGGCAAUUCCUGACGCUGAGGCGCGAAAGCGUGGGGAGCAAACGGG
rnacentral:rRNA from 1 species